AGUGAACGCUGGCGGUAGGCCUAACACAUGCAAGUCGAACGGCAGCACAGUAAGAGCUUGCUCUUACGGGUGGCGAGUGGCGGACGGGUGAGGAAUACAUCGGAAUCUUCUUUUUCGGGGGGGAUAACGUAGGGAAACUUACGCUAAUACCGCAUACUACCUACGGGUGAGAGCAGGGGAUCUUCGGACCUUGCGCGAUUGAAUGAGCCGAUGUCGGAUUAGCUAGUUGGCGGGGUAAAGACCCACCAAGGCGACGAUCCGUAGCUGGUCUGAGAGGAUGAUCAGCCACACUGGAACUGAGACACGGUCCAGACUCCUACGGGAGGCAGCAGUGGGGAAUAUUGGACAAUGGGCGCAAGCCUGAUCCAGCCAUACCGCGUGGGUGAAGAAGGCCUUCGGGUUGUAAAGCCCUUUUGUUGGGAAAGAAAAGCAGCAGGUUAAUACCCCGCUGUUCUGACGGUACCCAAAGAAUAAGCACCGGCUAACUUCGUG
rnacentral:rRNA from 1 species